GCCCCAGGCCCCCAAGUAUAUUUUUCCUUAGCACUGCUGGAAAUCAGGGAACAUUGUUCAAUUUUUUACAAGUUAUUUUGAAACCAAUAUAACUCUCAUAACUAACACAGAAUUUGUACGUUUUUCAAGUGAUAUGCCACUGGCAUGAAUAUGAUACAUUUCCUUGAAAUUUCUUUGUUUCGCUCCUUUGUUUUUGAAACGUAUAGUUCGUGUUCAAUAUAACUCCAGUAUAAGUGGGACAUUUCAGCAGAUCGUGGUCAACUCAAAAGAAAAGACAAUUGUCAGAGUUCUUAACGGAAUUGUUCAUCAUCUGUAUUGACCCUGUAUUUGGUGGAAGCGGUGGAAAAUAAGCAGAAACGGAAGUAUUUAGCAUGACGUGCGCUAUGAGAGUACUCCUUGAAUUUUG